rnacentral:rRNA from 1 species
GGGUGCGUAACACGUAUGCAACCUGCCUUCAACAGGGGGAUAGCCCGGGGAAACUCGGAUUAAUACCCCAUAAUACAGUGAACCAGCAUUGGUUUAUUGUUAAAGCUCCGGCGGUUGAAGAUGGGCAUGCGUUCGAUUAGCUAGUUGGUGUAGGUAACGGCUCACCAAGGCUACGAUCGAUAGGGGGUCUGAGAGGAUGAUCCCCCACACUGGUACUGAGAUACGGACCAG